CGUGUAUAUAAAGGCAGAGCCAGCUGACUGCUGUAUCUGUGGAUCUGUACUCCAGCACACGUUUCAGGGUUUGGAUCUGGAUUUUUGAGAUGAACUGGAAUAACGCAGGAAACCAGUUUCCCCCAGGCUCAGGCUUUUAUCCUCAGCCAAUGCCAGGAGGAUACAAUCCUCAAUAUCCACCAGGCACUGUCCCAACCCAGCCCUGCCCUCCUCAGCCUUGGGGUGCACCUGGGUAUGGUCCUGUAGCCCCACCUUAUGGAGGGUAUGGACAUGGCUAUGAGCCCUGGCAGGGACAUGGGCAUGGACAUCAUGGACAUCAUGGACAUCAUGGACAUCAUGGUCAUCAUCAUGGACAUGGCCACUAACACGAGCAUGGUCACAGGCAUGGAAACAUUUUAAAUUACUCCAGCAGCUCCUGCAGCAGUGACUCGGACUAGACCAAGAUGAAGGAAACAAGACAAGUUGCCACCGGGAAUCCUUCACCCUGCUACCUUACAGUAGAUUAUAAUAAACAGUUUGUUUGAUUUCAAAUGUUGGGAUUAUAA